ACGAACCGUGCGAACGUUGUUCGGAUUCACUGGGCUUAAAGGGCGCGUAGGCGGCUGCUCAAGUCGGGGGUGAAAUCUUGCCGCUUAACGGCAAAAGAGCUUUCGAUACUGGGCGGCUGGAGGGAGGUAGGGGUGCGCGGAACUUCCGGUGGAGCGGUGAAAUGCGUAGAUAUCGGAAGGAACGCCGGUGGCGAAAGCGGCGCACUGGACCUCCACUGACGCUGAGGCGCGAAAGCCAGGGGAGCAAACGGGA
rnacentral:rRNA from 1 species